rnacentral:rRNA from 1 species
AAACUCGCCUACAUGAAGCUGGAGUUACUAGUAAUCGCAGAUCAGAAUGCUGCGGUGAAUGCGUUCCCGGGUCUUGUACACACCGCCCGUCACACCACGGAAGUUGGGGGCGCCCGAAGCCACUUAGCUAACCCUUUUGGGAAGCGAGUGUCGAAGGUGAAAUCAAUAACUGGGGUGAAGUCGUAACAAGGUACC